UACGGGAGGCAGCAGUGGGGAAUUUUGGACAAUGGGCGAAAGCCUGAUCCAGCAAUGCCGCGUGAGUGAAGAAGGCCUUCGGGUUGUAAAGCUCUUUUGUCAGGGAAGAAACGGUGAGAGCUAAUAUCUCUUGCUAAUGACGGUACCUGAAGAAUAAGCACCGGCUAACUACGUGCCAGCAGCCGCGGUAAUACGUAGGGUGCAAGCGUUAAUCGGAAUUACUGGGCGUAAAGCGUGCGCAGGCGGUUUUGUAAGUCUGAUGUGAAAUCCCCGGGCUCAACCUGGGAAUUGCAUUGGAGACUGCAAGGCUAGAAUCUGGCAGAGGGGGGUAGAAUUCCACGUGUAGCAGUGAAAUGCGUAGAUAUGUGGAGGAACACCGAUGGCGAAGGCAGCCCCCUGGGUCAAGAUUGACGCUCAUGCACGAAAGCGUGGGGAGCAAACAGGAUUAGAUACCCUGGUAGUCCACGCCCUAAACGAUGUCUACUAGUUGUCGGGUCUUAAUUGACUUGGUAACGCAGCUAACGCGUGAAGUAGACCGCCUGGGGAGUCGGUCGCAAGNUUAAAACGUCAAAAGUAUAGUCGCGNGNGAGAGCGACGACGACGACGAGGAGGGAGGAG
rnacentral:rRNA from 1 species